UUGUUGAAAAUGCCGGAAAAAGGCCAUUACUUUACCAAAAAAAGGGAAAUUAAAAUCCCGCUCAAUCCCAAAAAAUAACUUUUGGUUACCGCUUGUUACUCCCUCUUCUUCUCAACAGUGAACAGACUUCAAUUCAUUCACCAAAGUAUCACCUGCAAAAUCAUUUCCAGUUUUCCAUUUUUUCAUUUUCUUCCAAAACAAAAACCCCAUUGUUGCAAACUAGAAUUUUGUGGAAACUGAGUCUCUCCCUUUUCUUUUUCUCUUCUUUUGGCUCUGGAAUUUGAAAAAAGAAAAAGAAAAAAAUAGGAUGAGUACUGAAGCAGCCAAGAGAAGCACCACCGGAUCUCUGACGGUGAAACAACGGAAAACCGAUGAAUUGAAGCCUUCUCCGGCGCUUACUGCAGAACCCAAGAAAGUUAUCAUCAAAAGUGCCGACAUGAAAGACGACAUGCAAAAAGAGGCCGUCAAUAUAGCCAUUUCCGCUUUCGAGAAGAACAAUGUAGAGAAAGAUGUAGCUGAGUACAUUAAGAAAGAAUUCGACAAGAAACAUGGACCUGACAUUGAAUCUUCUUAAGCUUUUAUGUAAUAAUCUUCCUGGAUUUGCACUAAGGGGUGAACUAAUUCUAUGUGGCAUGCUGCAGAGACAUCAAGCCUGACAACCUGCUACUUGAUAAAAAUGGUCAUAUGAAAUUAUCAGAUUUUGGAUUAUGUUAACCAUUAGAUUGCAGUAAUCUCCAGGAAAAGGAUUUUACCUUAGCAAAGAAUCUCAGUGGGGCUCUUCAAAGUGAUGGACGACCUGCUCCACCAAAACGCACACAACAAGAGCAAUUGCAGCAUUGGCAGAGGAACAGAAGGAUGCUUCAGUGUGGCAAGAGAAGAUCAAUGGAAAAAGACACUUCAUAUUAUGAUAUAUUGGGUGUCAAUGUUGAUGCAUCUAUACCUGAAAUCAAGAAGGCUUAUUACCUCAAAGAUCAACAAAGUAGAGAGCUGUCUCAAGAUCACAUAUCUAAGCGAGCCAAUAAACUAAGAAUGAAGGAGGAGGAACUGAAAUUAAAGCCUAUUAUCGCAUUUGAUUGUGAAUGAUCUAAGUUUGGCUCUCUCUUUCAAUAAAAAAGCUGAAAUCAGGGAACGAGAUUGGUGCAAUGUGUUGAAAUCAGGGAACGAGAUUGGUGCAAUGUGGUUACAUGCCAUAUGGAUACUGAAAAGGCAUAUGUGUGGCGACUUCAAAAUUUUGUGAUUGGUGAGCAUAUCCUGAGACCAUGUCCUGAAAAUCCAACUCCUGUGAAGGCCUGUGCCAUCAGCACUUCUGGUAAUUUUGCGGUUCUAGGUACAGCAGGGGGUUGGAUUGAGAGAUUCAAUCUCCAAUCUGGAAUAAGUCGAGGUAGUUAUGUGGACACGCCAAAAGGAAGUGCUCAUGAUGGGGAGUCUGUUGCUGACGGGGCAAUAAGGGAAACAUGGGAAGAGGCAGGUGUUGAAGUGGAAGUCAUUUCUCCUUUUGCACAACUGUAUAUUUCCCCAUAAAUGUAAAUGUGCUUAAAAUUUAUCUAAAAAUUCUCAUCGACAUAAAUUUUCAUAAAUUGUAUUAUCUCUCUGUUGCUGGUAGAUUGCCCAUUUAUUUAAACAUAAUAUUUAAAUUCUAAA